AUAAAAGCUAUGAAUAGGAAGAGUAUUUAAAAGGAUACCUUACAGAGAGCAAAUGUUGGUGGAAAUUUGCAGUUUUACUUUUAAAGAAAAUCACCUAUGAGCUAAAAAUUGAAAUUUUAGUAGGUUUAUUCGUAAUUCUGCGUUAAAGAAUAGAGUAUAAAAUGUACUUGAAUUAAUAACACUUUAGGUGGUAUAGCGAAUUUAACUUCGUCCUAACG
rnacentral:ncRNA from 1 species